rnacentral:lncRNA from 1 species
CAUAACAGUCAAGAGUGUAACAACAACAACAAAAAAAAUCAAUCAUUCUGGCUAUUUUAGGCUAGAUGUGAUUUAAUACAAAGAAUUAGGGGCAUGCAAAACCGUUGGAUGAGCUACAUCAUUUCAGAAGUCCAGAAAUGCUAGAAUCACAGGAAAUUUUCACCAAAAACCUCACAGCCCUGAAGCAGAUAAUUCACUUCUAAAAGCAAAUCUUUAUGUCUGCCAUUUUCUAAAAGCCAGGCAUCCUAUCACUGUUGCCAAUGGAGUAAUAAUGGAUCCUGCUUCUCUCCCCCUCCAACCUUGCAUUUCACUGGCAGAUAUGUAGCGACCAGGCUUAUGAUAAAAUAACAGAAGGGGCUAUCUUAAUUCCCAGCAGACAAUUUAACAGAGACAUUGAGAUCCUCCAAUUAUGUGAGGAGUAAUGUUGAAAAGAAGUACAAUGAGCAAAAGGUAAGCCUUUAAGGAAUAAAGGAGAACAGGCAAACUAGAUUAAGUUUUGAGUUUUUUUUUAAAGAAUAUUUCUUAAAGCAUAUGCUAUUUCCCUUUCCAUAUGAAAUGUUAUUUGUUAUUUUUCUUUUGUUAUUUGGUUUUCAUUUGAUUUUCAGUACAAAGGUAAGAGAGGGGUGUUAUAUUCGGAUGUGAAAUCCUGAGGCCUAGAGAUACUAUUUUUAUUCAUUCAGUAAGAUUUUGCAAAGUGCAUACUAUAUCAUAAAUGUUCAAUCUGGUGCACUGGACUGGCUCAAUGUACCUCUUAUAGUGCGUUUUUUAAAUUUAAGACUGAUUUUUGUAGCCUAACUGACAUGAAUAUAAUUAACCCUAGUUCUAAAACUGAUUAUAAUUAUAUGAUACAUAAAUGCCAAUUAAAACUUUCUCUUGAAAUUUAGGAAGUUUUUGUCAAAUGUAAUCAUUUUCUGAUAGAAAUCACUGAUAAAACAGUAACACUUAAUAACUAUAAAACAACUAUAAAAAUUAUUCUCUUCCUUUCCUCAUCACAAAAUGUUCUUCAUUUUGAUAAGUCCUAAAAUAAUUUUAACACAUUCUAAGAUAUCUUAAAAUUCAAGAUUUAAGACAAAUAAGCAGAUGCUUAUUCCACAUGGAACUCUUUCCUGUGCUUGUUCCUUUCCAGCAUCCUUUUUUUUGAACAGAAAAUGACUCCAAUCUGACUAGAACACCUGAAACCAUCGUUCUUUCUUAAUUGGUGCAAAAUAAAAGGAGGGAUAGGAAUCAUCAAAUGUAUCUUCAGCUUUACUUUUGUUUGUAAGUUACUGAAAA